UUUUGCUCACUCUAGAGUCUAGGGCAGCUCUUCCUGAGAACAGAAUGCUAAUAUGACCAGAUGACAUUAUAUAUGACUGGAAGGACAUAAUGCGUGCUGAGUUCUUGCCUCAUUUUCUUAGCAUUUGAUGAUGAAGAAACUAAGGAUCGUAGAUAUUAGAGGCUUUCCAAAGGUCAGCAUCACUAUCAAGAAUGGAUAUAACGGGACAGAACUCAGGCAUCAAUAUCCAAGUGAGGAAAUCAUUGAAAGUCUAGGGCUAUGGGAUGAGAGAAGGCCAUUGCAUUUUACAACAUACCAUCCAAUCCAAGUCUGCGACAUGUGGUUUUGAACCACUCUGAGUCUGAAUUUCCAGCAAAAUUAAGAAGGCAAUAGAAGAAGUGAUCAGAAGAUGUAAUUAUGGAAGCAACCAUAAAAUGGAAGAUGCAUCAUGGGAAAUACAAAGAACUGACUGCUGGUCAUGGAAAUUGAAAUUGUAGACUUCCUCAGAUUUCCUCCAUUACUUCUUGAUGGCCAAAAACAUGAAGAAAGAAAUCUGAACUCUCUGUGCCAGACUCUGUGUUAGCUCUUGAGAUAUAUUAUCUUCUAAUAUCUUAAGAAGACAUAAAUCAAGAAUGUUAACACAAACCUGCAAAGAUCCAGUACUAACACUGAACACUAGCUGGGUCUC
rnacentral:sRNA from 1 species